UGCAGAAUCCCGUGAACCAUCGAGUCUUUGAACGCAAGUUGCGCCCGAAGCCUUCCGGCCGAGGGCACGUCUGCCUGGGCGUCACGC
rnacentral:rRNA from 1 species